rnacentral:tRNA from 2 species
GGCGGCGUAGCUCAGUUGGUUAGAGCGACGGUCUCAUAAUCCGUAGGUCGAGCGUUCGAAUCGCUCCGCCGCCACCA